AACGAACGCUGGCGGCAUGCCUAACACAUGCAAGUCGAGCGCCUGUAGCAAUACAGGAGCGGCGCACGGGUGAGUAACGCGUGGGAACCUGCCCUUAGGUUCGGAACAACCGCGGGAAACUGCGGCUGAUACCGGAUGAUGUCUUCGGACCAAAGAUUUAUCGCCUUUGGAGGGGCCCGCGUCGGAUUAGGUAGUUGGUGAGGUAACGGCUCACCAAGCCUGCGAUCCGUAGCUGGUCUGAGAGGAUGACCAGCCACACUGGGACUGAGACACGGCCCAGACUCCUACGGGAGGCAGCAGUGGGGAGUAUUGGACAAUGGGGGCAACCCUGAUCCAGCAAUGCCGCGUGGGUGAUGAAGGCCUUCGGGUUGUAAAGCCCUUUCGGCGGGGACGAUGAUGACGGUACCCGCAGAAGAAGCCCCGGCUAACUUCGUGCCAGCCGCCGCCGUAAUAC
rnacentral:rRNA from 1 species